AAAAGCAACAAAAAACAAGUGGUAAUGAGUGUGCUUACUGCAAGUAAGUGAACAAUUGGAAAAUAAAAAUACAUGGCAGGUAGUACAGAUCAAAGUGGUUUUCAGCUUGUUGUAUGCCUAACUACUGUGCCACAUUCCCUUCUCUUUCAACAUCUGUCAUGCAUUCUCCCUCACCUUUACUUCUCUUUAUUGAAAGAUCUCAGAUACUCUCUGAAAUCUGGAAUGACUUGUAAUGAAAGAUGCAGUCAUGAGAUUUUAGGGUGAAGGUGAGUGUUCCUAGCUCCCACCUGUAGCUCUGACAAACUCCUCGUGGUCUGAGGUUGAAGACUUUAUUUUGAUAAGGUGUUGUAGGAAUUUAUGUAUUUUACUGGUAACCUUAUCUAUGAUUCUGCAAUAUUUAAACAGAAACUGUUUGAAACAUACUUUUUUCCAGUCAGCAUAUGCAGUAUCUCUUAAGAUGCUGGUGCUGUAUCCAGUAGGGAUAAAGGUACAUGACUUUGCAGUUACAUUUCACUUCAUGCUGUUUCUCUUUUCUCACUGUUAAAAAUGUCACGAUAAGUUGGCUGUGCAGUAUUGACACUGCCUUACAACAGCAACCAAUGCUUGGGUAAACUGAAGUUUCAUCUAAGGGAAGGAGAACCUAGAAUAGAGUAGUGAGAUAGGUGGAAGACUCUUUCUGUUUACCCUGGUGGUCCUUAAUCAUUUGCAAGGUUAAGGAAACACCCUGUUUCAAGUGACCAAAUUUGAGGAUAAUUACAAGAAGCAGGUGAAGUGUCAAACACGUUUAUAGUAGUAAUAGUGUAUUUACAAAAGGAUAAUAAAGUGACAUUGGCUUUUGUACUGCAUCAUGGUGCAGGGAGCAUUCUGUCUCCGGCAAGUUGAACAGCAUCAGGCAACACAGACAAGAGGAUGGUCAUGUACCAAAGGAACUAUGUUUUCAUAUAGAUAAGGUCAUAGCAGCAAUUGUGAGAUAGUUCUAAAGGAUUUGGGGACUUAUUUUUCUAUUGUACAGGAUGGAGGGAAGUAGAGGCUUCACAAGGUGAGGAAAGAUGAGUGAAGUGAAACAGUGUCAGGCUGGUUAGCACAGAUUACCCUAUAGAGGCUGGUCUUUCUGGCAGGGGAGCCAACAAUAAGGAGCUCUCUCUUCAGUGUACUCUUCUUACUGAGAUCGGGGAGUUGCACAGGCUUGGCAUUUUGGAGAAAUGAGAUAUCAAGUCUGAAAAUGUCCCAAGCUCAUCUAUAACUAUUCUAUGUGGGCUUCAUCUAAAGUAAUCUUUUUAUGAAUAGAUGCAAGUUUUCUUAUGUUUCAUGGUGCUCUCCUUAGGGGAAUUCCUGGCAGGUGGGCUUGUCUGAGGCUGCGUGCAGUAGAGGUACCAUUGGUAUACGUGCAUAAACAAGGCAGUUCAUAUCUUACAUGUGUGCACUGCUGUAGCAACAGGAGAGAGGAGCGGAGCUGGAAUAGCUUCUCUUUCCGAGCAGCCUUACAAGCACAAACAUGACAAAUCUGGAAUAGGAUUUUCCAGUUUUGAGGAACUGAGGAGCUUAGACUUCUUUGCCAUUAUUCACACCCUUCUCUUAAGACUUCGGUUGCAUAUUAAAGCUCAGUCACGCGAAACAGUACUACCACUAGCUAAAAUCUUGCUUGUAUCUUUAAGCUCCUCUUAGACGCAUCAUUCCGUAGCUUAUCGCCUCGCUUGAAUGUUCGGGGUUUGCUCCUUUAAGCCCCACGCCGUUGCUGCAAGCCGUGGAGAGCGGCGCCCGGCUUCGCCAACCCGGCGGCCUUCUGUGGUAAAAGCGCGGCGCCCCCUCCCGGCCGCUUCCGCCGCUGCAGGUCCCCGCGGGCUGCGCACUCUGGCGGGCAGCCCGAGGGCCCAACGACCCCUUAUCCUCCUUCGGAGAGAGCUGGGGCUGCUGGGGACAACUCGAGCACGUCGAGUGUUUCGCUGGUUUCUCGCUUUCCGCCGGCGUUUCACGCCCGUUUCCUUUAUGAGUGCGGUUUCCACUAUGAAACACGCAGCAAACGGCUGAGAAAAUACUAAAAAGAACCCACUUCGAUGAAAACUGGCACCUGUUCUGAAACAAUGAAAAGAGGCCCUUGAGAAGUCCUCUUUAUAUUAACUGUCAUGCAGCCUUACUAUUAGCGAAUGAAAUUUAGCCUCAGCACGAAAGUAUACUGUCAGAAAUACCUGUUGUAACCUUCCCAGAUCAUACAGGACUAUAACAAAAUGUUAUAAGUCCCUAAAGCUUCUCAAAUAAAGUGUUUCAUGCUAGUGUUUAAUUUCAA